UGCCUAAGGUCACCUAGCUAGUUGCCAGGGAACAGAGGCCUGUCACUGGGUCCCAAGCCCAGGCUCUCUCCACGCAACGCCAAUGCCCCUCCCUCCCAUCCCCAACAUAGGAAGCAAUGUUGGGAUACAUACAUGUUAACAUCCUGAGGAUCAUACAGCUCAAAAAUGUCACCACUUACCAUUUCUGAAGGAGGUUUUUUUUUGGGGGGUGGGGUGAUGUGUUGUUGGUAGAAAGGGAACUAUAUAGCAACAGGGACGUGGAGAGAGCUGUGGAGCUCCGAGCCUGUCUGAACUGUUCAGGAAGGACUUGCACUGACAGAAUGGGAGAACUCAAACCAGCUGAUGAGCAGCUCAGACCAGAUCUAAGUGUUGGGAUCCUGGUGCCACCCCCAUCUUGACAGCUCAGAGCUACAAAGAGAGUAAGAGAAGUACAGCGGAUGUAUGUGUGUAAAGUUUCUAUGUGAAUCUGCUGGAUUUCAAAGUAAGUUGUGGAUAUUAUGACACUUCAACCCUAAAGAUUUCUGCAUGCAUCUCCUACAAAUAUGGACAUUCUCCUGUAUGACCACAAUGCCGUUAUUAUGCCUAAGAACCAAAGCCAGUUGAUUACAUCUCCCCAGUAUGUCUCCAAUUUAGCCGCUUUUCUUCAGGCCACAAGUUUCCUGUAUCUUCAAGAGUGCAAUCAUCUCCUAACGGUUCCUCCUUCAAUCCACGCUCCACGCUGCUGCAAAGAGAACUUUCGACAGUGGAGAUCUGAUUAUGUCACUUCCCUACUUCAGACUUUCCAAUGGUUUUGCAUUACCUUCAAAAUAAAGAAUAAAC
rnacentral:lncRNA from 1 species